rnacentral:sRNA from 1 species
CCGUAGGCGAGCGAGCGGCUAGGUUCGUGAUCUGGAGAGACGCUCAGCACAGUGCUCGACAUGAGAUAAUCACUCACUGUUGCUUCCGUUCAGGACUGGAAACCAAUGGAAAGGAAGAACAGUUAAGAUAAUAUUAAGUUCCUGCAACUUAACUGGGAAUUGAUCAAGAUUUCAAGCUAAAGAUGGUGGUGAUGAACAGCCUGAGGGUCAUUCUUCAAGCCUUUCCAGGCAAAUUGCUGUGGAGAAAGUUCCAGAUUCCGAGAUUCAUGCCAGCGAGGCCCUGCAGCCUCUAUACUUGUACUUACAAAACCCGGAACCGAGCCUGUGAGUACACCACUUCCUUAAAGAGAACAAAAAGGGCUCCAGCCUGAGUGACAGAGUGAAAUCUCAUCUCUUAGAAAAAAAGAAAAAAGAAAAGAGGGAGCAAGUGUGCAAGAGCAAAAAUACUCGUCUUUAUAAUAAUCACACAUGUUAAACAUUUGUAGCUAUGCUGUCUUUGGCUUUCCAGUGUAGGAUUAUAUGCCUUAUGAACUGUGAGAAUAACUGUUUCUCUAUUGAUUCAUGAAA